rnacentral:rRNA from 1 species
GACGAACGCUGGCGGCGUGCCUAACACAUGCAAGUCGAGCGGGGAACGGACGGUAGCUUGCUACAGUUUGUUUCUAGCGGCGGACGGGUGAGUAACGCGUGAGCAACCUGCCUUUAUCAGGGGGAUAACGCAUCGAAAGAUGUGCUAAUACCGCGUAAGACCACAGCUUCACAUGGAGCGGGGGUCAAAGGAGCAAUCCGGAUAAAGAUGGGCUCGCGUCCGAUUAGCUAGUUGGUGAGAUAACAGCCCACCAAGGCGACGAUCGGUAGCCGACCUGAGAGGGUGAUCGGCCACAUUGGAACUGAGAGACGGUCCAGACUCCUACGGGAGGCAGCAGUGGGGAAUAUUGGGCAAUGGGCGAAAGCCUGACCCAGCAACGCCGCGUGAGGGAAGAAGGGUUUCGGCUCGUAAACCUCUGUCCUAUGGGACGAAG